GGGAAACACACAUAUCUAAGCAACUGUGCUUUCCUGAGCGAAGAGAUAUUCUCCAUGUCUGAUCCCUCUACAUGAUAGCUGAGGAUAAGGCCUUUGGCAAAAGGGGAGAUGUCCAGCACAGUCAUCAAGAGAGUCUAUGGCUUGUUUGUAUCCCAUUCCCUAUCCAGAUUCUUGGUACCUAAAUUCAAAUAUAAAAUAAAGUUGUUUUGUUAUGUUU